rnacentral:rRNA from 1 species
UAGACCGCCUGGGGAGUACGGCCGCAAGGUUAAAACUCAAAUGAAUUGACGGGGGCCCGCACAAGCGGUGGAGCAUGUGGUUUAAUUCGAUGCAACGCGAAGAACCUUACCUGGUCUUGACAUCCACAGAAUUCUGCAGAGAUGCGGAAGUGCCUUCGGGAACUGUGAGACAGGUGCUGCAUGGCUGUCGUCAGCUCGUGUUGUGAAAUGUUGGGUUAAGUCCCGCAACGAGCGCAACCCUUAUCCUUUGUUGCCAGCGGUCCGGCCGGGAACUCAAAGGAGACUGCCAGU